rnacentral:rRNA from 1 species
UAAGCGACUAAGCGUACACGGUGGAUGCCCUGGCAGUCAGAGGCGAUGAAGGACGUGCUAAUCUGCGAUAAGCGUCGGUAAGGUGAUAUGAACCGUUAUAACCGGCGAUUUCCGAAUGGGGAAACCCAGUGUGUUUCGACACACUAUCAUUAACUGAAUCCAUAGGUUAAUGAGGCGAACCGGGGGAACUGAAACAUCUAAGUACCCCGAGGAAAAGAAAUCAACCGAGAUUCCCCCAGUAGCGGCGAGCGAACGGGAGCAGCCCAGAGCCUGAAUCAGUAUGUGUGUUAGUGGAAGCGUCUGGAAAGGCGCGCGAUACAGGGUGACAGCCCGUACACAAAAAUGCACAUGCUGUGAGCUCGAUGAGUAGGGCGGGACACGUGGUAUCCUGUCUGAAUAUGGGGGGACCAUCCUCCAAGGCUAAAUACUCCUGACUGACCGAUAGUGAACCAGUACCGUGAGGGAAAGGCGAAAAGAACCCCGGCGAGGGGAGUGAAAAAGAACCUGAAACCGUGUACGUACAAGCAGUGGGAGCUCGCUUAGGCGUGUGACUGCGUACCUUUUGUAUAAUGGGUCAGCGACUUAUAUUCUGUAGCAAGGUUAACCGAAUAGGGGAGCCGAAGGGAAACCGAGUCUUAACUGGGCGUUAAGUUGCAGGGUAUAGACCCGAAACCCGGUGAUCUAGCCAUGGGCAGGUUGAAGGUUGGGUAACACUAACUGGAGGACCGAACCGACUAAUGUUGAAAAAUUAGCGGAUGACUUGUGGCUGGGGGUGAAAGGCCAAUCAAACCGGGAGAUAGCUGGUUCUCCCCGAAAGCUAUUUAGGUAGCGCCUCGUGAAUUCAUCUCCGGGGGUAGAGCACUGUUUCGGCAAGGGGGUCAUCCCGACUUACCAACCCGAUGCAAACUGCGAAUACCGGAGAAUGUUACUCACCGGGAGACACGACGGCGGGUGCUAACGUCCGUCGUGAAGAGGGAAACAACCCAGACCGCCAGCUAAGGUCCCAAAGUCAUGGUUAAGUGGGAAACGAUGUGGGAAGGCCCAGACAGCCAGGAUGUUGGCUUAGAAGCAGCCAUCAUUAAAGAAAGCGUAAUAGCUCACUGGUCGAGUCGGCCUGCGCGGAAGAUGUAACGGGGCUAAACCAUGCACCGAAGCUGCGGCAGCGACGCUUAUGCGUUGUUGGGUAGGGGAGCGUUCUGUAAGCCUGCGAAGGUGUGCUGUGAGGCAUGCUGGAGGUAUCAGAAGUGCGAAUGCUGACAUAAGUAACGAUAAAGCGGGUGAAAAGCCCGCUCGCCGGAAGACCAAGGGUUCCUGUCCAACGUUAAUCGGGGCAGGGUGAGUCGACCCCUAAGGCGAGGCCGAAAGGCGUAGUCGAUGGGAAACAGGUUAAUAUUCCUGUACUUGGUGUUACUGCGAAGGGGGGACGGAGAAGGCUAUGUUGGCCGGGCGACGGUUGUCCCGGUUUAAGCGUGUAGGCUGGUUUUCCAGGCAAAUCCGGAAAAUCAAGGCUGAGGCGUGAUGACGAGGCACUACGGUGCUGAAGCAACAAAUGCCCUGCUUCCAGGAAAAGCCUCUAAGCAUCAGGUAACAUCAAAUCGCACCCCAAACCGACACAGGUGGUCAGGUAGAGAAUACCAAGGCGCUUGAGAGAACUCGGGUGAAGGAACUAGGCAAAAUGGUGCCGUAACUUCGGGAGAAGGCACGCUGAUAUGUAGGUGAAGUCCCUCGCGGAUGGAGCUGAAAUCAGUCGAAGAUACCAGCUGGCUGCAACUGUUUAUUAAAAACACAGCACUGUGCAAACACGAAAGUGGACGUAUACGGUGUGACGCCUGCCCGGUGCCGGAAGGUUAAUUGAUGGGGUUAGCGCAAGCGAAGCUCUUGAUCGAAGCCCCGGUAAACGGCGGCCGUAACUAUAACGGUCCUAAGGUAGCGAAAUUCCUUGUCGGGUAAGUUCCGACCUGCACGAAUGGCGUAAUGAUGGCCAGGCUGUCUCCACCCGAGACUCAGUGAAAUUGAACUCGCUGUGAAGAUGCAGUGUACCCGCGGCAAGACGGAAAGACCCCGUGAACCUUUACUAUAGCUUGACACUGAACAUUGAGCCUUGAUGUGUAGGAUAGGUGGGAGGCUUUGAAGUGUGGACGCCAGUCUGCAUGGAGCCGACCUUGAAAUACCACCCUUUAAUGUUUGAUGUUCUAACGUUGACCCGUAAUCCGGGUUGCGGACAGUGUCUGGUGGGUAGUUUGACUGGGGCGGUCUCCUCCUAAAGAGUAACGGAGGAGCACGAAGGUUGGCUAAUCCUGGUCGGACAUCAGGAGGUUAGUGCAAUGGCAUAAGCCAGCUUGACUGCGAGCGUGACGGCGCGAGCAGGUGCGAAAGCAGGUCAUAGUGAUCCGGUGGUUCUGAAUGGAAGGGCCAUCGCUCAACGGAUAAAAGGUACUCCGGGGAUAACAGGCUGAUACCGCCCAAGAGUUCAUAUCGACGGCGGUGUUUGGCACCUCGAUGUCGGCUCAUCACAUCCUGGGGCUGAAGUAGGUCCCAAGGGUAUGGCUGUUCGCCAUUUAAAGUGGUACGCGAGCUGGGUUUAGAACGUCGUGAGACAGUUCGGUCCCUAUCUGCCGUGGGCGCUGGAGAACUGAGGGGGGCUGCUCCUAGUACGAGAGGACCGGAGUGGACGCAUCACUGGUGUUCGGGUUGUCAUGCCAAUGGCACUGCCCGGUAGCUAAAUGCGGAAGAGAUAAGUGCUGAAAGCAUCUAAGCACGAAACUUGCCCCGAGAUGAGUUCUCCCUGACUCCUUGAGAGUCCUGAAGGAACGUUGAAGACGACGACGUUGAUAGGCCGGGUGUGUAAGCGCAGCGAUGCGUUGAGCUAACCGGUACUAAUGAACCGUGAGGCUUAACCU